AAUGAAAAAGGUGAAACUCAUCAAAAUUUAAAGAAGUAUCUAAGAUAGUUCCUUCCUGGUUCUACUAUAUUGUACUGCUUUACAGGGCAGCUGUGUUGCCCAACCCCAGAGUGCUAUUUCCACCGAACACACUGUGGAUGGUGCCUGCUAGAGUUAAUAACAAACACAGCUGCCUUAAAGAAGAAAGAGUUGAGUACAGUCAUGUGAACUGGGAAAGUCACUUAUACUUUCUGUGAAUCUUAAGUUUCCAUAGUUGUACAACAGGGAUCAUAAUAGCAUAUUUUCACUAUUGCUCCAGUCUAUGUUAUGAACCAGAAGAGAUGAUGUGAAAGGGCUUCAUAAAAAUAUUGAGACAUAAACAUAAGAGAAGGUGAAGAGGAGACAGAAUACUUAUCAAUCUUAGCCUGUCAUUGGAUCAGGAUUACCAACAUAAUUUAUCCUUAUAUAAGAGGUGUGUGAUGGUGUCUGUGACUGGAGGGUUUUAGUUAAAAGAAUACUGAAUAACAGAGUGACUGCCUCUAGGUCUUUCUGCAGAAUGAAAGCCUCUAGGAGUGCAAGGCCACCCAGCUAUAUUCAGAUUCUGUAGUUAAAGGUGGAUGAUGGGAAGACAGCUGGAGAGGCUGUGCUUGACUGGGAGUCUGGCAAGCUGCUUAGUAUCCUCCUGAAGAGGAAAUGAAAAGAUCUUGUAGCAUGUUCCAUCCAGGGUCUGCAGGAGAUGGGAAAGAUUGCCCUAUUUGUUAUAUUUAUUGGAGAUAUUAUUAUUUGUUUUAUGCCAUGUGGAAGGAAGGCCAGGGCUAUAAUCUAUUGAUCAUUUAGUUUUAUGAAGUUCUCAAAUGGGUGAUCUGGUAUUUUUCUGACAGAGAGGCUAUGGUUCCUGAACACCAGUAAUAAGGUUGUCAUGUCAUUUUCUUCUCGGUCUUUUUAUUGCUUUUUAUUUCUUUGAUGAUAUUACCUCUUCCCUUCCUCACCUCCCCCCUUGCAACUGACUUUUUAUUUUAUUUUUUUCUCUUAGAGCUAUAUUUAGGAUCAGCUUGAUUCAUUUCACAGAACCUGUCCUGUGCUUUAAAAAAUUAUUUAUCUUUGCUUUUCACGUUAUAUCCUGUGAAACAGUUUGUACACUGCAGACACUCUUUUAAAGUCUUCAUAGUAAACACUGGAAUUUAACUGGGGGGGAAAUAGGUCAGGGAAGCUGAGACCAAAUGUUCAUUUUGCAGCCACAGUCUGAGCAGAUGGAUAACAGAAUGAGGUGGCUUUCUUUGUGGCCUUGGUUUUCUGUAAACUCUUUCAGGAUUUCCUGGGAUUCAUGAUCCUUCAGGAUCCCCAAGUAUUUUUGAGCACAUGAACACAGAGGAUGGUGUCUUCCUAAUAAAAGGACUAAAGUUAUUACUCUGUUAUCAUGUAGGGAAUAAAUUUGAUGAGUUACAUUCUCUCUUCCCUCUUAUUUAGCUAGCAAUGUGAUAAAGAACACAGAAUCUCCAUGGGAAACACAACUAAACAGCUCUGCUCUCAAUUGGGGUUGAGACAAAUGAAGAUUAUCACCUCAGUGAUCAUCAUCAGCCACAUUACAGAUAAAACUCCAUUCUACCCUCAUGCCAGACAGUCAGUUAACCAGAAAAUAAUAACCAAAGAUGGUUGAGUGUGUACAUCACAAGGCAAUAAGAGAAAUUUCCCAGUUAUCCUGUCCUUUCUUGUUCCUGGAAAAUGACACCUGAAAUUAAUCAAGUAGCCUUGGAAAUCACAGAUGCAGAGAGUCAUGGGGAUAAGAGUUUUCAGACAUUAUCAUUUUUCUCCUGAUAAACCAUCUGUGACAUGGAGACCUUGAAGCUGGGAGUUCUGGCCACAAUGCUCAAUAGACUGUGCACAGAGCUUUUUCAGAGGUAACCGCUGUUAAAAAAAAAAAAAAAUCAUCUCCACUGUUAUUCCUCUCUCUUACACUCUUACAAUUAUUUUUCUCUCACUCCUUUUGUUACAGCUAAUGUAAUGUGAGUUUACAUGAAUCCAGCCAAAGGUGUUUUGCCAGACAAUAGAAACUAUUUAUAAGGCUCUCACUGAGUGCUAGGACUGUCCUUUUUCUUAAUUGCAGCUGCUCUGGCUGCAAUAAUGAAAUCAGGUACUAGAAGGAAAAUGUUCUCACUACAGACCUACCUAUUUACAAUUCUUUCCGUACAGGGUUCAGUAGCCAUUUGUCUUUGGAUAGAAUAGGUCUAUGAGCACAGUAAUUGACAGAAUAAUCGAAAAGAAAUCAGGUAAGAAAGUCUUGUCUCACCAAUUAGUUCAUAAGUAAAUAUGAACACAGUUUUCCAGAGUCUUUUGGUUUCAACCUUGAGUCUUUGUGAAGUUGAACUGACAUAAGUAAUAUGGAGAUAAUGUCUAAAAAUUGGUUAUAGAAGUAAAUCUAAAAUAGAUGGUCAUAGUUCAGUGUUUAUGUGUGCAUGUUUUAAUCAGAGUUCUCCCAAGAACAGAAUCAAUAUAGAGAGAAGAUUAUUUAAGAAGUUGACUCAUGCAGUUGUGGAAUUGUGGUGACUCCAAAAUCUGAGAGGAAAGACCAGCAGGCUGGAAACUGAGGAAAGAGGUGUUCUUUGAGGA